rnacentral:piRNA from 1 species
UAUUGAUCAUAGUUUUGCUUCUGUGCCU